rnacentral:tRNA from 1 species
UCCCAGGUAGCUUAAUGGUAAAGCACGCCCAACCGGCAAUUGGGCGAUCUGGGUUCAAGUCCCGGUCCGGGCU